rnacentral:rRNA from 1 species
AUGCCCUGCACUUCUGGGACAAGCCCUGUUAAACGGGGUCUAAUACCGGAUAUGACUGUCCAUCGCAUGGUGGAUGGUGUAAAGCUCCGGCGGUGCAGGAUGAGCCCGCGGCCUAUCAGCUUGUUGGUGAGGUAGUGGCUCACCAAGGCGACGACGGGUAGCCGGCCUGAGAGGGCGACCGGCCACACUGGGACUGAGACACGGCCCAGACUCCUACGGGAGGCAGCAGUGGGGAAUAUUGCACAAUGGGCGAAAGCCUGAUGCAGCGACGCCGCGUGAGGGAUGACGGCCUUCGGGUUGUAAACCUCUUUCAGCAGGGAAGAAGCGAAAGUGACGGUACCUGCAGAAGAAGCGCCGGCUAACUACGUGCCAGCAGCCGCGGUAAUACGUAGGGCGCAAGCGUUGUCCGGAAUUAUUGGGCGUAAAGAGCUCGUAGGCGGCUUGUCACGUCGGUUGUGAAAGCCCGGGGCUUAACCCCGGGUCUGCAGUCGAUACGGGCAGGCUAGAGUUCGGUAGGGGAGAUCGGAAUUCCUGGUGUAGCGGUGAAAUGCGCAGAUAUCAGGAGGAACACCGGUGGCGAAGGCGGAUCUCUGGGCCGAUACUGACGCUGAGGAGCGAAAGCGUGGGGAGCGAACAGGAUUAGAUACCCUGGUAGUCCACGCCGUAAACGGUGGGCACUAGGUGUGGGCAACAUUCCACGUUGUCCGUGCCGCAGCUAACGCAUUAAGUGCCCCGCCUGGGGAGUACGGCCGCAAGGCUAAAAACUCAAAGGAAUUGACGGGGGCCCGCACAAGCGGCGGAGCAUGUGGCUUAAUUCGACGCACCGCGAAGAACCUUACCAAGGCUUGACAUACACCGGAAACGUCUGGAGACAGGCGCCCCCUUGUGGUCGGUGUACAGGUGGGUGCAUGGCUGUCUUCACCUCUGUCCUGAAAU